UCGAUACCUGAAUAGGCAGACCGCGAACACGUUUAAACACUGGGGAGCGCUGCGUGGGGCAACCCCGCUGUGCGUCCUCCUCCCGCGUGGGCACCGCCCACUGCGGGCUAACGAACCCCCGGCGCGGCAUGCGCCAAGGAAAACUCACAGGAGCGUCAGCCCCCAUCUCCCCGUGCGCGGUGAGCGAGGGGGUGGUACGUGCCUCGAAUGUCUAAACGACUCUCGGCAACGGAUAUCUCGGCUCUCGCAUCGAUGAAGAACGUAGCGAAAUGCGAUMCUURGUGUGAAUUGCAGAAUCCCGUGAACCAUCGAGUCUUUGAACGCAAGUUGCGCCCGAAGCCUCACGGCCGAGGGCACGCCUGCCUGGGCGUCACGCAUCUCGUCGCCCCCCGUCCUCCCCUCUGUGGGGCGAUCGGCUGGGACGGAUAUUGGCCUCMCGUGGGCAUCAACCCCCGCGGCYGGCUCAAAUGAAAUCACGUGGCUUCCACCGUCACGACAAGCGUUGGUUGAGCACUCCACUCUCUUGCUGWCGUGUUGGACGGAGCGCCAAGUACUCAUAGACCCAAUGGUGCGACUUGAUCGUGCC
rnacentral:rRNA from 1 species